rnacentral:lncRNA from 1 species
GAUCUUCAACUUUCAUGUUGACCAAAAUUUCAUUUGAAGCUUCUUUGAUGUUGGAAAGUCAAGUUGAAUGUGGUCCAAAAACAUGCCAUUUUUGGAAACUUGAAAUUACAGGUCACUUUCCAUUUUGGGAAACUUUUGAUCUGACUUCAAAAUCUUCAAGGUAGAUGUUUGUCAUGAUGAAUAAGCCUCUUUUGGACAUGAAUG